GCCAGGGUUGUGUAGUGAUGUGAGCACUGGACUACAACUCCGGAGAUCAGGGUUCAAUUCCCCGCUCAGCCA